UACGAAGGGGGCUAGCGUUGUUCGGAUUUACUGGGCGUAAAGCGCGCGUAGGCGGCUUUGUAAGCUAGAGGUGAAAGCCCGGAGCUCAACUCCGGAACUGCCUUUAAGACUGCAUCGCUAGAAUUGUGGAGAGGUGAGUGGAAUUCCGAGUGUAGAGGUGAAAUUCGUAGAUAUUCGGAAGAACACCAGUGGCGAAGGCGACUCACUGGACACAUAUUGACGCUGAGGUGCGAAAGCGUGGGGAGCAAACAGG
rnacentral:rRNA from 1 species